CUCACACUACAAGUGGCAGUAUCGUAGCCGAUGAGGUUUAACUGAGGCGCGAUUAUUGCUUAUUGAAAACUUUUCCCAAUACCCCGCUAUGACGACUUGAAAUAUAGUCGGCAAUGACAAUUUUUGAUAGUCUCUACAAGUAUGGAGG